AACCACGCGGGUGCAGCUGAGCUCAGGGACUGCCGAAAGUGAAAGUGGCAUCACGGAAAUAACCAGUACUGUGGCUUGGUUACCGCCGAUCCUACAGCGAGGCGCAAAGUGCUUAUGACACCAAAGGUCCUGAAACAAAAGUCUCUAAAGGCAACACAGCUCCGGGUGGCCCGUGCUUUGACGCGGAGUGAGACUUUGAGAUCUCAAAACCCAAAAAAGGCCUCUUGAGGGAUCGUAGUUCCCCGACCAGGGAUAAAACCCGUGCCCCCUACAGUGGAAGUGAUGAAUCCUAACCACUGGACCUCCAAGGAAUUCCCAACAAAUGGAUGUUUUAAUGACAGCACAUAUGGCUUCAGUUUCUUCAUCUGUAAAACAAUUAUGAUUUUAUUCUCGUCUAUGAGAAUGAGAGCUCUGAAGCAUGGGGAAUAGACUAUUCUAGCACCCAACAAACACACUGCCUGGCAGACAGGAUAUACGCAAUAAAGUAUUGAUCAGUUUGCAGAAACAUCCUCAAAGGGUCCAGCUCUUCACUGAGAAUGUGUGGAAUGAGAGUUAGAGGUUUGUUCAUUCAUUCAAGAACUAUAUCUUCAUCUUGAGCACAGGGACGAGCUGUGAGGGAUAUGGCUGAGUUUGGGAGAAAAGAUACACAAAGGAAAUGUUAACCAUACAAGUACGCGGGCCUCUCACUGUUGUGGCCUCUCCCGUUGAGGAGCACCGGCUCCGGACGUGCAGGCUCAGUGGCCAUGGCUCACGGGUCCAGCUGCUCCGCGGCAUGUGGGAUCUUCCCGGACCGGGGCACGAACCCAUGUCCCCUGCAUCGGCAGGCGGACUCUCAACCACUGCGCCACCAGGGAAGCCCUAGGAGUUCAUUUUUACCGGUGAGAUCUGUUCUCUUGCUUACGUGAAAAGGACCAAAACUAUUUCCUGAUGACAAGGCCAAAUAGCUGUAGCUUGAGUCUGUUAUCUCAAACCUGAAUGUAACCUGAGGUGCAUUCAUUUUAAAAAAAUGCCAAGUAAGGAAUGAGGUUCUCCCAACUUACUGCACUGGUCAGAUGCAACCUGGAGAAUUAUGUUAACUUCUGCAUUUCACCUUUAAGAGAAAUGUUGGCUAUUUUAUAAUACUUCCAGAGGAGAGAUCAAGAACUAUGUCCCAAAAGGACUGUUCAGGAAUGACAAGUCUGUGGAAGAUAAAACUGAAGGGGACAGGAGAACCAGCUCCAAAGCAGUGAAGGCCAAUGUUGGCACAAAAAAGCAGAACCAGGGCAAAGGGUGGGGGAGGGAUAUGCUGGGAGACAGAUUUUGACUUUAUAGCAGCCAGAGCCUUCUAAUAAUUAGGCUAUUUAAACAUGGGAAGGGCUCAGGGAGGUAGUGAGUCAAGGCCUAGUCAGACAGUAGCCAAGCAGUGGCUGGACAGCCACUCCUAGGAGAAGUGCUACAGGGGGACUCCUGCAUUGGGCAGGAAAGAUUCUGUUAUUUUAUAACUCUCUGAAAUGUAGGUCCUAUACAUCAUAAAUUAGAUUAGGGGAUAGACUACAAAAUUUCAGUGGCUUCUUAAAAACAUUUAGAGUUUUGUUUAUAGAAAUGAAGAAUGAAUGAAAGUAAAAAAAUGAAAACCAUGGGUCAUUUCUGUAGGCUCCUUUCAGCAUUUUGAUUUCAUGUGUGUUUGUGUUCCUCUUAAUUUCAGAUCCUGUUUUCUUUCUUUGACUUCUACCUAUAUGUCCUUAUAUUCUCUCUAUCUCUCCUUUUACACAGAAGAUUUUCAUUUAUUCCAUGGGUGGUAGGUCUUUGGAUCAUAUUGGAGGAAUUUAAGGUCUGGUUGUUUGGAAAUGAUUAGAGUAAAAAAUCUAUAAUAUCUUACCUAGCCUGGUGAGUGUUUCUUUGUACUUUUUCUCUCUUCUCCAACCACAUCUUUUGGUCAAGACCACGUUUGUGUUUACGAAAAAUCAUUAGUGCUCAUAAUAUUACAAGUAAAGGAAAAGAAAGUAGAAUUGCCAGAAGGAUUCCGGAGGAAUACACAUGCAAGUACAACCAAACUAAUCUUGAAAAAAGAAAAAAGAAAAAGAAAAGAAAGAAAUAAUAAGGACUUUCCAUAAAACUAGAAUUGCAUACACCAUAAUUACAAUAAUUGACAUAAUGCUGGGAAAAUGACACUCAUCGAUUAAAACUGAAAAGUUCAGAAAGAGACUCAAAUCAAUAUAUAAUGAAAGUCCCAUUUAAAAUCUGUAAGAAAAAAGGUGACUUUCAUGAAAUGAUUAACUCUUUGGAAAAGAAGAGGGUCACCCCAAAUUUCAUAAAUAAAACCAUGGAAGACACCUGAAACAUUGUAAAUCAACUAUACUUCAAUAAAAAAAUAAUAAAAAAAUAAUAAAACCAUGGAAGUACUGGGGAAAAGUAUAGGUGAACAUUUAUAUAUUCUUUGGGGAAAAGACUCUUAAAAACAAAAAAACACCUAAGAAAGUACCUGAAAUAAAAAAUAUUGAUACAUUUAAUUUUAAAAUGUCUGUGCCUCAAAACCACAAUAAACCAUAUAGGCAAAUAGCAAAACAAAAAGGAAAGUAUUAACAACAUACAUGAAUAAAAGUUAAUGUCAUAAUAUAUAAAAAGCUCUUACUAAUCAAUAAGAUUAGGAGCAUUGUCUCAAUGGAGGACAGAGCAAAGCAUGAGAAUAUAAAUCAACUCAGAAGAAACACAAGUGUCCAAUGAACAUGUGGCAAUUGAAUCUUGAA